GACCUUCACCUUCUGAAUGAAAGAACUGGGUUGCAGUAACCGCUGCGUUUGCGCUUCAUCCUCUGGUGUUUGGCGGCCAACCUGGAGAGCAUCCAGAGGACCAGGACGCAGCGAUGUGCAGCUGUGUGAGUUGAUUGAUGAGGUGACACCCAUCAGCAGUACCAAGAGACAAACUCCAGAGGCUGAGAAUACUCCAGUGGGCAGCCACAGAAUUGUGCCAGAGAACCAAGUGUGGACCCAAGAAGGAGCCACAGGGGUCAAGGACACCAUAAGAAAACCUACAGGUUCAACUACCCUGAUCACAAAGGGGUCCACAAAGAGUGACCUGCCAACCAGGGAGCAUGCAUAGGACUGGCCUUGUGCAGCUUGGUCUUCAUGUGGGAUGCCUAACAGCAGGAACGGGGACAGUCUCUGACUUUGCUGCCUACCUUCAGGACCAUUUCCCCCUACUGAGUCUCUGAUAGCCUCAACAGGAGAUGUGCCUAAUCUUACUGCCGGGUGACAAUGCCAAGGCUGGUUGGUAUCCAUGGGAGGCCUCCCCUUUUCUGAAGAGAAAGGGGGGAGGGGAAGCUGAAUGAGACAGGGAAGGAGGGGGGAAGGACUGGGAGGAGAUAUGGGAGGGAACACUUCGGUGGGGCAAUAAAGUUAAUUGAUUAAUUA